GAUGAACGCUGGCGGCGUGCUUAACACAUGCAAGUCGAACGAAGCAUUUAAAACAGAUUAUUUCGGUAUGAAGUUUUUUAUGACUGAGUGGCGGACGGGUGAGUAACGCGUGGGUAACCUGCCUUGUACUGGGGGAUAGCAGCUGGAAACGGCUGGUAAUACCGCAUAAGCGCACAAUGUUGCAUGACAUGGUGUGAAAAACUCCGGUGGUAUAAGAUGGACCCGCGUCUGAUUAGCUAGUUGGUGAGAUAACAGCCCACCAAGGCGACGAUCAGUAGCCGACCUGAGAGGGUGACCGGCCACAUUGGGACUGAGACACGGCCCAGACUCCUACGGGAGGCAGCAGUGGGGAAUAUUGCACAAUGGAGGAAACUCUGAUGCAGCGACGCCGCGUGAGUGAAGAAGUAAUUCGUUAUGUAAAGCUCUAUCAGCAGGGAAGAUAGUGACGGUACCUGACUAAGAAGCUCCGGCUA
rnacentral:rRNA from 1 species